rnacentral:lncRNA from 1 species
GGGACGCUUCCCACUGAAUAAAUAGAAAUAGAGGAUUAAAUUCCACGGGUCCCAACGUGGGCUUCCUGGGCCAGUGUGGAAGGUGGGGCUUGGAGGGCAGAGAAGGCCCCCCGUUGCCAGGAGCUCUAAGGGCACUCAAAAGCCAUCAGGAGCGGGCCUCCCUGGGAAGAAACUGGCCUCCAGAUGGGCCCUGGGAGGAGGCUGGGGGGUUUGCUCAGGAUCCCGGACCAUGGCAGCUGAGUCCUCCAAUCCCUGCCCACUCAGAGUGCCGUCUACACGUGGCACCGCAACGGGUUAUCGUUACGGCACAUGCUGAGUACCACGUACUUCCUAUCCUUUUUAUUUUGAGGCAUCAUUAAUAUUCUAAGAUGUCCUUAAUUAAUUGAUUCAUUGAUUGCUUUUUACAGCUGCAUCUGUGGCAUAUGGAAACGCCCAGGCUAGGGAUCCAGUUGGAGCUGAGGCUGCCAGCCUACGCCACAGCCACGAAGCCAGAUCCGGGCCACAUCUGGAACCUAUGUUGUAACUCGUGGCAACGCUGGAUCCUUAUCCCACUGAGCAGGGCCAGGGAUUGAUCCUGCCUCCUCAUGGAUACUAGUCAGGGUCUUAACCCACUGAGCCACAGCAGGAACCUCCAGAUAUCCUUAUUUCGCACGGGAAGAAACAGAAGCCCCGAGAGGCCAAGUGACGAAUCAGAGGUCACACAGCUCAUCAAUAGCAAGCCCAGAUCCUGCACCCUGAUCCGUCUUAUUUCAGGCCCCCUGCCCUUGGCUAUACACGGUUUUCUUCCAGCUCCAAACUCCCUGCCCUCUCCUUGCUUUUCCAUCUUCCCAGCGCUCAGCCUCGUGUCUGGCACUGAGGGUGGAGGCCCGAUUCUGCCAGAUUAAGUAACAGCCGUGGUGAAACACAAAGGAUCCAUCUCCCCAUUUUGGACCCAAGUAUUAUUGAGUGUUCCUCUGUUUUGACAUGUGGCUCCUCAAAGAAAGGUCCCCGUGGUCGGAGAGGAGCGGGUCUCUGCGUAUUACAGCCCUUCUUUGAGAACCACGAUGGGCUUUGGCAUGUACGAGGCACAGUGGACGACACCUGCUGUCCCCACUGUGUCCCUAGGGCCCAGCCCCAUGCCCAACACCAGAGGAGCCCACAAAUAUGUUAUGUGCUGAAUACAAGUGAGUGACUGAAUGACAACUGUACUGGAAACUUCCACUCGGUUUAAUGUAUACGUUAGUUGGCUCGGGCUGCCACAGCACAAACUCAUAAACCGGGUAGCUUAAACUUAACACUUCUGUUCUGAUAGUCCUGGGGGCUGGAAGCUCAAGAUCAAGGUGCUGGCAAGAUUGGUGAUUGGUAAGGGCUGACAGUCUGGUGGGGUGCGGGGCCACUGUGGGGGGGGGAUGAUGGAGUGAUGGACAUUGAGGGGGACAAGCUCUUUCAUGCCUCUUCUUCCAAGGGCACUAACCGCAUCGUGAAGGCCCCACGUCCAUGUUCUAAUUCCCUCCCAACAGGGCAUGUGUCCGAAUGCCAUCAUGCUGGUCUUAGGACUGCAACAUGUGAAUUCUGGAGAGACCCAAAGCUGCAGUCUCUAACACUUAGGUUAUGAAAGAUCCUGUUUUUUUUUUUUUUUUUUUUUUUUUUUCUUGGAAACUGACAAGAAGGGGAGAGAAAGGGAGAGACAGAAAAAUGUUGAUAGAAGAUGGAAUGAGCUCAGCCUGGACGCCCAGGGCUGGACACAAAAUGAUGCGACAGGAUGGGCAUCUCCCGAUGGGGUGGGAGGCAGCAAAGACCCUGGUGGGAAGGAGAGAAGAUCAGUGAGUGCCCGUUAGAAGCGGAGUCCCACCGCCACCCUGUGGACAAGCCCGGGGAGUGAUGGCGGAUCCCUCUGCUGCAAACCUGGCGCCCCGGUGCCAACAUGUGGGCAGGGGACUUUUCAUUUCUCACAGCUGCUUCCCCGGGGAAGGGGGCAACCUGGGGCACCGCCCCUCUGAAAGUGCAUUGGAGCAAGAGGAACCUGGGUUUCAUCCCUCUGUGAACUUGAUGCAUCAGGGCCUGCUCUGUCCUCAGUAGUUUAUCUGCGAAGUGACCCUCUCUGAGUUCCUUUCAACAGCGACAUAGGAGUCCAUGAUUCCGGAGGGAUCUGUGAGGCUCAGAGUCCAUCAGCCCGGAAGCCAAAAGGUCUGGCUCCAUGGAAGGAGGAACCCACGUGGCCUCCCCUUCCUUUCUCCAAAGCAGGAGCCCGACCCUGGCGAGCCCACAGCCUCAUGGCAGAGUCAGUUUGGAAUAUUUUUGUUCCAUUCAUGGGCCUCUAAUGGAAUCAAGACCAGUCUAUUUAUAUGUACAGAUGGUGCAAACUUUAGUGGAACAUCAAAUGCACCAGAUGUUGUCAGGACAGAGGAAAAUGAGUGAACUUGGCUGAUAGAAAUCAAAGAGCCCCUGGGACAAGAUGUCUUUCUGGACCCAAGAUGCACAGGACGCUGAACAGGCAGAUGAUAAGAAACGCCAGGAUGCCGGGCCCCUUGGAUUGAGGGUGGCUUCGGCAACCUGGGGAAGGGAGUCAGUCCGAGCUUGUUUUGCUGGGGGAGAAAAUGGAAUCCUUGUCUGUUCCCAUUGUUCCUUCUGAGCCCACGCAGGGGACCAAGCAGCAGGCGUUUCAUCUCCAAUUAUUUUCAGCCAAGGGAAAAAGCAGAUGGUAAAUAGCACUGAAAAAAAAAAAACUUUUUUAGAAUUAAUAUUAAUAAAAGAUGUGUUGGAGGCCCUGCCUGCAUCUUGGGGAACAAGGGCCCGCCUUGUGGGUGGUGUUUGGGGGGAUGAAGGUAGCAAGGGGCCAGGGCGGGGAGAGGUGACUGCAGCGAGAAAGCGACACAGGGGACUGAAGGUGCCAGAGGGCGGUGUGGGUGGCGGGGCACCCUUGGGAGCCCAGCAUCUGGCGGGGCUGGAGCCCUAAAGCCAUGAGGCGUCUGCCGAGGCCCUGAGCUCCGCAGAGGAGGAGGGCGGUGGGGGCCAGACAGUGGGCUGCCCAGUGCUCACAAGGAACACUGGCGCCACAGGGCCCCUCUUCCAGCCGGGUGUGGCCCAGAUGGCUCUUUCAUGCAGCUGCAGCGCACAGAGGGGGCUGGCGGGUGCCCUCACUUCCGCGGCCCACGCCGGCCACGAUCCUGGCCCCACUCGGCCAGUCCCAGUGUCCAUCUGUCAGCAAGUGCUAUCGGGUGUCCACUGGCUGCCCAGCUGUCCUCUGAGAGUUUGGAUUCCAUGUUCAAGCAGAGAAACCGAUCUGGCUCCUUCAGGAUUUGUAGGCGUCAUGGGAGGAAAGAGUGACAUGCAGUGGGUCCCGGGGGCAGAGGGCCAAAGGCAGGUUCCUGGGGGCACUCGUGUAUUCCACAAAAGUUUUGGAGCACUCGUUAGGUGCUUCCCAUGGUUCUAGGAAUGAAAUAGAUGAGGUCUCUGCCCUCCAGGAGCUUAUAGUCCAGCCCGAGGGAAGCAAUAGUCAAAUGCAUGCCUGCAUAUUUGUGAAUUAUUAUCAGGUUAAAUUAAUUCAUAGGAAAGGACAAAUGGUGACAAAUGCCUUAAAAGAGAGAAUGAGAAUGCCAGGAGAGCUACACGGAGUGAGUCUGUGUCGUGCUGAUUUACCAGAGUCCCAGAGGUGUCUCUGAGCUUCUUUCUCCCUUUGCCCCAGAGCUCUGGGAGGCGUGAGCUUGGAGAAGAAGCUGCAAAGAGAGUAUGUACAUAGGCAUUCACAC